ACUUUUAUUUCCGUAAAUAAGAAGAUUGUAGAGUAAAAUGAGUGGAAAAACAAUUGAUGAAGCAACGGGGAACUUGCAAAAGAGAUUCGACCAGAGAGCUAUGCGAUAUUAUGGUGCAACUAUAACACUAGAUAUAUGCUUCAUUAAGAAGAAAAGAUGAUGCAACGAUCAAGUCACAUAAAAAAGAUGAGGAGAGAAAAUGG